rnacentral:rRNA from 1 species
AGAGUUUGAUCCUGGCUCAGAUUGAACGCUGGCGGCAGGCCUAACACAUGCAAGUCGAGCGGAUGAGUGGAGCUUGCUCCAUGAUUCAGCGGCGGACGGGUGAGUAAUGCCUAGGAAUCUGCCUGGUAGUGGGGGACAACGUUUCGAAAGGAACGCUAAUACCGCAUACGUCCUACGGGAGAAAGUGGGGGGUCUUCGGACCUCACGCUAUCAGAUGAGCCUAGGUCGGAUUAGCUAGUUGGCGAGGUAAAGGCUCACCAAGGCGACGAUCCGUAGCGGGUCUGAGAGGAUGAUCCGCCACACUGGGACUGAGACACGGCCCAGACUCCUACGGGAGGCAGCAGUGGGGAAUUUUGGACAAUGGGGGCAACCCUGAUUCAGCCAUGCCGCGUGAGUGAAGAAGGCCUUCGGGUUGUAAAGUACUUUCAGCGGGGAGGAAGGGGAUGUGGUUAAUAACCGCAUCCAUUGACGUUACCCGCAGAAGAAGCACCGGCUAACUCCGUGCCAGCAGCCGCGGUAAUA